CGGAAGCGGAAGUUGGCGGUUUUGGGCUGGUGCCUGAGCGGGAAGAUGCUUCCCCUGUCCUUGCUGAAGACGGCACAGAACCACCCCAUGUUGGUGGAGCUGAAAAAUGGAGAGACUUACAACGGUCACCUGGUGAGUUGUGACAACUGGAUGAAUAUCAACCUCCGAGAAGUCAUCUGUACCU